AAAAGCUUCUUUUUGAUGUUUGCUGUGUGGUUUGACCAUCUUAGAACAUAGCACUUUGGAGUGGCUUUCUUGUAAGGUGCACCAUUUUUUUCCCUUCACCAAUUGUGACUUGCAGUGAACUGUUUGAGAAAUGUUUGAGUGAAUUUGGGCCUAGCCUAAUAGCAUUGCCUUUACCCAAUUGCUGAGUUUCAAGAUCUCAACUAACAUCAUUGAGCUUUCCAACAAUCCAAGGAUGCCCUUUAGGGAUUUUUAAGACUCUUUUUUUGAACCUUUUGAUUGAAUUCCUGAGGAAUUUUUGGACACUCACUCCCUCCUUAAGAUUUUUUUAUAGAAUUUUUAAUGGAGGUGGACUCAACCCAAAGCACUUAUUCCUAGUCUCUUCUUUCACUUUGUCCCUGUACCCUUUGCAAUUCUCCUUCUCUCCUGCCCUCUUUUAAACUAUUUUUCUGACUUUGGAGUGGCGUUAACAUGAGUGUACCACUCCAUAAUCGC